CCUACGGGAGGCUGCAGUGAGGAAUAUUGGUCAAUGGACGCAAGUCUGAACCAGCCAAGCCGCGUGCAGGAAGACGGCUCUAUGAGUUGUAAACUGCUUUUGUACGAGGAUAAACGCCGAUACGCAUAUCUUUCUGAAAGUAUCGUACGAAUAAGGAUCGGCUAACUCCGUGCCAGCAGCCGCGGUAAUACGGAGGAUUCAAGCGUUAUCCGGAUUUAUUGGGUUUAAAGGGUGCGUAGGCGGUCGGAUAAGUUAGUGGUGAAAGCCUGCGGCUCAACUUUGGAAUUGCCUCUGAUACUGUUCGGCUAGAGUGUAGUUGAGGUAGGCGGAAUGUGUGGUGUAGCGGUGAAAUGCUUAGAGAUCACGCAGAACACCGAUUGCGAAGGCAGCUUACCAGGCUACUUCUGACGUUGAGGCACGAAAGCGUGGGGAGCAAACAGGAUUAGAUACCCGUGUAGUC
rnacentral:rRNA from 1 species